rnacentral:misc_RNA from 1 species
UAUCCGUAGGUGAACCUGCGGAUGGAUCAUUACAACAAGUAUAUCACUGUACUUUCACCAUUUGUGCACUGUAGCGUGCCGCUGGCACUCGAGGUGCUUCGGCGUGCGCGUCUCUUUCACCAACAAACUGAACACUGUAACAUACAAAGCAGCAUAAAACUUUUAGCAACGGAUCUCUAGGCUCUCGCAUCGAUGAGAACGCAGC